AUUUAUAUAGUUUAGGAAAACAUUACAUUUUCACUGUAAAGACAAAGGGAACCUUUUAUAAAUA
rnacentral:tRNA from 1 species